CAGCAAGCAGAGGGAGAGGGACUCCUUGCUGAACAGGGAGCCCGAUGCUGGGCUCAAUCCCAGGACCCCAGGAUCAUGACCUGAGCUGAAGGCAGAUGCUUAAUCAACUGAGCCAUCUAGGCACCCCUCCAGGAAUGGACUCUGUCAAGUUAUUAUUACCCUGUGAGUGGGUCAUACUUUCUGGUUUCUUUGUAUAUUUUAUAAUAUUUUUUGUUGAGAACCAGAUGUUUUGAGUGUUAUGUGUAGUGAUUCUGGAAUUCUAAUUCUCCCACUCCUCAGAGAUUGCUGAAUCCUACUCGUUGAUGGCUGGAGCCAUUUGUGAUUUUUUCAGUUUUGCAAAGUGUUUAUUCAUUGUGUGGUCCUUGAAGUUUCUGUUUCACUGUGUGGUCAUCCAGCAUCCUGAAGAAGAUUUUGUUAAGUGUCUGUCUCCCAAAAAGGGGAGAAACAAGUAUUAUCUCUUUAAUCCCUCUACCCCACCCCAGAAACUGUUUCAGUAGUUAAAACGAUGGCAGAUAAACCUAUGCUAGCUUCAUAGGGAUCAAAAGUGGCAGUAAACCAUCAGAACACCUGACGCUGAUACUUGGAGGACAAAGUCCUUAUUACAACUUGGCUCCAGCAAGCCGUACCAGGAAUGAAGGCUGUUAUCCACAUGGCUGCAUGCCAUGGGGUAACGGAUGGGCAUGUAGGUGCUGUGCUAGACAUGGAAGUUCACUGAAAUUUACUACCAUCUUCAUCAAGCUCACCCCUGGAAGCUGCAAAGACAGCCAGCGAGAGAGGGAACACAAGCAGGGGGAGUGGGAGAGGAAGAAGCAGGCUCCCAGCGGAGCAGGGAGCCUGAUGCAGGGCUCAAUCCCAGGACCCUAGGAUCACGCCUUGAGCCGAAGGCAGACGCUUGACUGAGCCCCCCAGGCCCCCUGUACCCAGUAUUGUACCCAAUAUAUAAUGUCACCAGCACUGAAUCAUUGGAAAACAUUUACCUUCCAUGUCAGGAUGCGAAGUUGAGUACAGCAGAGUCUGAGCUCCACACAACCUCCCUGUACUGGAUAUUGUAAUUCUUACCUCUGCUUGCUAAUUAAAUAGGCACGACUAUG